GAAGCAAUCCAUUUUUGCUCAAAUUAUGGAAAAGAACUGACCACUUUCCCCUAAAAUCCAGGAAAUGUCGCUCUGAAAGAAGCAAAGUCAAGUCUGUGAAAACUUACACCAAUGUAAGAGUUGCUUCUAAAAUCAGCUACUAAUGACAGAGGUAUAGUGGCACUUAAACCAACAGUUACAAAAAAUAUUAAUAGUAAAAAGAUUUGGAAAACUUCAAAUGACUGAGGAUUCCUUUCAUUGGAAACUUCCACAAGCUAAAGCUUUUGCUGAGAUGCCAGUGGUAAAUAAGCGGUUUGUGUAUGACUUUUAUUGAGAUACAAGUUCCAGACUUGCAGAAGACAGGACUGGUGGUUUAUACUUCAAGGAAAUGACAUUGUAUACUGAAGAUUAUUUUUAUAGGUCUUGUUGUUGUUAUUGAAACAUGAAAGCGCUUAUCUUUAUGUAGUUUCCUCUAUCGUUAUCAACUAGUAGUAAACUCUAUUUGAUUUUCCAGAUCGUUUUCAGUCGAAUGUUAUUUAAUAAGAACUGCAGUGUAUACAGAGCAGAGCAGCCAAAGGGCAGCUUUAAUUUGCAGGCUGAAGGAAGUGGCAUUAUAGCCAGGCAGGGAGGAACUUCCUGGCCAUUUUUUAUAAACUAAUAAACUUUCUUGAGAGAAGGCAACUCUUUACUGUAUGAUUUCUCUUCACCUGGAACAGGAGCCUCUUGCCAACAAAAGCAAAGCUGUUUGCAGAAAGCAGCUCAGCUCAGCCUUCACAGUCCUGCCUGUAGAUGAAGGAGAAAGAUACCAGAAUAAAUUAUGUACGUGGACACAUGCUGAGUAGAUCCGCCUCUAUGCUCUUCCAGCUGCUGCCGCCAGAAAUUGUGAGGCAGUCAGAAGUUGGGGAAACAGCUUUGGUGAAGUCACCAAAUCCUCAGGAAUAGCCUGGAGAGACAGGGAAGAGAAGACCCGUUGUCACAGGAAGGUGGACAUGAUAGAAGCCAUUCCUGUGACCUGGCAAGGCAAGGUGUCAGAGCAC
rnacentral:lncRNA from 1 species